rnacentral:rRNA from 1 species
AUACGGAGGUUGCAAGCGUUACUCGGAAUCACUGGGCGUAAAGCGCGCGCAGGCAGCUAUUUAAGUUGGAUGUGAAAGCCUAUGGCUCAACCAUAGAACUGCAUCCAGAACUAUUUAGCUAGAGUGUGGGAGAGGAAGAUGGAAUUAGUUGUGUAGGGGUAAAAUCCGUAGAGAUAACUAGGAAUACCAAAAGCGAAGGCAAUCCUCUGGAACACUACUGACGCUGAGGCGCGAAAGCGUGGGGAGCAAACAGGAUUAGAAACCCUAGUAGUCC